UACAGAGGUGGCAAGCGUUACUCGGAAUUACUGGGCGUAAAGCGUGCGUAGGUGGUGAGUUAAGUCUGUCGUGAAAGCCCCGGGCUCAACCUGGGAAUGGCGAUGGAUACUGGCUCGCUAGAGUGCGGUAGAGGAGAGUGGAAUUCCCGGUGUAGCAGUGAAAUGCGUAGAGAUCGGGAGGAACAUCAGUUGCGAAGGCGGCUCUCUGGACCAGCACUGACACUGAGGCACGAAAGCGUGGGGAGCAGACAGG
rnacentral:rRNA from 1 species